rnacentral:rRNA from 1 species
ACGGGGGGGGCGAGCGUUGUUCGGAAUUACUGGGCGUAAGGGGUGCGUAGGCGGCUUUCUAAGUCGGAUGUGAAAACUCUGGGCUCAACCCAGAGCCUGCAUCUGAAACUGGAGAGCUAGGGUUUUGGAGGGGAAAGCGGAAUUCCAGGUGUAGCGGUGAAAUGCGUAGAUAUCUGGAGGAACACCGGUGGCGAAGGCGGCAUCCUGGACCGGCAUUGACGCUGAGGCGCGAAAGCUAGGGGAGCAAACGGGA